UGUGGGUAGUUAUCUUGGUUAGUGGCACUAUAGCCUUAGGAAGCGGCACGGUUGGGGUUUUGUUGGCAACAUUGACAUAAAUAAAGGAAAAUGUACGCUCACCACGCUGCACCUUGGUCCGGUCAUUUCCAAGACGACGGCCGCGACACCGAUAUUCGUUACAAUACUCAUUUUGUCCGACUACUCGGUACACCUCUAGUAAAUAUCUCCUGCUCCGUGUUAGCUGAUCUUCGGCUUGUUUUCAAAGAUGUCCUGCUUCCUGGUGGAAGGGAAUGAGGAGACAGAUUUUUAAAUCAACUGCGUAUAUACAACACCAAAUAUGGCUGUGGCAGAAGGCGUAGAUGACCAGAGCCUUACCCAGCACGCCCAACAUGAGGAUGACGGAGAGGAUGAUUUAGAGCGCAUGUCAAAUGUAUAUAUUUUUUUUUGUAAUUGUGUGGUAUACAUUUUAUAGCAAUCUAAAUAUUUAUUGAAAGUGUGUUUUUAAAUAUAUUUUGUUCUCAAAGCUAUUUCAAAUAAAUUACAAUAAAGAGAAUGUAUUUUUUUUUUUUUGUCUCUCAGCUCCAUGUCCAAAUGCAGCAGGGUGGCAAGGUUGUACAACAGUUUGUUUGUGCUUUGUUCUGCCGUCCCCCAGGACCGAGUUCUGCCGGCCCCCAGGGCCGAGUUUGGGAAACACUGGGCUAAAGCACAAACCGACUGGAACACCAACCUAGUGAAAUGUUGAUGUGUACCAUCACAUAUUGGUUUUCAUAGUUAGUAUGACCUUUUAUUUAGUAACCCAGCGCUGGGUAAAUACUGGAUAGGACACACAUGGGGUUAUUUUGACCCAGCUAGUUGGGUUGAGUGAAUAGUAUAAUCUGUAUAGCACUUUUUUUUAUAUAGGCUGUGUAGUUAUUCUUAAGGCUGAGGUAAUUAAACCGCAAUCCCACAUUGUCACUUAGCCCCAUUUGACCCAUACUAUACAAUGAUAUAAAGGUUCUCUGAAAAAGGUUUCUUAUGUUCACCAUAGAGUAAGGCUUUAC
ensembl:lncRNA